GAUAUUGUUUGGUCCUUUGAGAAC
rnacentral:piRNA from 1 species